rnacentral:rRNA from 1 species
AUUGAACGCUGGCGGCAGGCCUAACACAUGCAAGUCGAGCGGAGCGGCGGACGGGUACGUAAUGCCUAGGAAUGUGCCUGGGAGUGGGGGCUAACGUCAGGAAACGGGAGCUGAUACUGCCUACUAUUAGAUUAGCCUAGGUCGGAUUAGCAAGUUGGUGGGGUAAAGGCCUACCAAGGCGACGAUCCGUAACUGGUCUGAGAGGAUGAUCAGUCACACUGGAACUGAGACACGGUCCAGACUCCUACGGGAGGCAGCAGUGGGGAAUAUUGGACAAUGGGCGAAAGCCUGAUGCAGCCAUGCCGCGUGUGUGAAGAAGGUCUUCGGGUUGUAAAGCACUUUAAGUUGGGAGGCGUUACCAACAGAAUAAGCACCGGCUAACUCCGUGCCAGCAGCCGCGGUAAUAC